GUUGUGCCCUUGAGGCGUGGCUUCCGGAGCUAACGCGUUAAGUCGACCGCCUGGGGAGUACGGCCGCAAGGUUAAAACUCAAAUGAAUUGACGGGGGCCCGCACAAGCGGUGGAGCAUGUGGUUUAAUUCGAUGCAACGCGAAGAACCUUACCUGGUCUUGACAUCCACAGAACCUUGUAGAGAUACGAGGGUGCCUUCGGGAACUGUGAGACAGGUGCUGCAUGGCUGUCGUCAGCUCGUGUUGUGAAAUGUUGGGUUAAGUCCCGCAACGAGCGCAACCCUUAUCCUUUGUUGCCAGCGGUCCGGCCGGGAACUCAAAGGAGACUGCCAGUGAUAAACUGGAGGAAGGUGGGGAUGACGUCAAGUCAUCAUGGCCCUUACGACCAGGGCUACACACGUGCUACAAUGGCGCAUACAAAGAGAAGCGACCUCGCGAGAGCAAGCGGACCUCAUAAAGUGCGUCGUAGUCCGGAUUGGAGUCUGCAACUCGACUCCAUGAAGUCGGAAUCGCUAGUAAUCGUGGAUCAGAAUGCCACGGUGAAUACGUUCCCGGGCCUUGUACACACCGCCCGUCACACCAUGGGAGUGGGUUGCAAAAGAAGUAGGUAGCUUAACCUUCGGGAGGGCGCUUACCACUUUGUGAUUCAUGACUGGGGUGAAGUCGUAACAAGGUAACCGUAGGGGAACCUGCGGUUGGAUCACCUCCUUA
rnacentral:rRNA from 1 species